rnacentral:lncRNA from 1 species
CGUGCUUCUUCCAUGUCGGUUUGGUGCGCCAUUUUGUCUUUUUUUUGCGUGGCGUGCGAGUGCCUGUGCAACGCGCGUGUGUGCUUUGGAGCUGCAGCCUCAAGUCGAGUGCACGGGUAAAGGUUCACAGGACAGGUCUGAAAGGUCAACCUCAAUCAUAUUUGGCUGUGGAUAUCACUGCAACUUUGGCACUCGACCAAGCGAGGUACAUUGGACAGAUCAACCGGACCAAAAGGCACCGGGGUAAAAGAGAAGGGAGCGGAACAGGACCAAGGGUGCUCAGCCUUAUCAAAGUGCUUUGAAUAAUAAAUGUGCAAGUAUUGACAAAAG